GCUGGCGUAGCUCAACUGGCAGAGCACCUGUCUCGUAAACAGGAGGUUCCCGGUUCGAUUCCGGGCGCCAGCU
rnacentral:tRNA from 1 species